UACGUAGGGUCCAAGCGUUAUCCGGAAUCACUGGGCGUAAAGCGUGCGUAGGCGGCGUGUUAAGUGUGAUGUUAAAUCGUGUGGCUCAACCAUAUCGAUGCAUCGCAUACUGGCAUGCUAGAGGAAGGCAGAGGCAAGUGGAAUUGGCAGUGUAGCAGUGAAAUGCGUAGAGAUUGCCAGGAACACCAAUGGCGAAGGCAGCUUGCUGGGCCUUUUCUGACGCUGAGGUACGAAAGCGUGGGGAGCAAACAGG
rnacentral:rRNA from 1 species